rnacentral:ncRNA from 1 species
CCUGUUCGGCAUUCGACGCCCACAGGUCGGGAUGUGAUCCGCGGGGACGACCCGCCGGGUUGAACCAGGAA